GCUUAUGGCCAUAUCACGCUGAUAGCACCGGUUCUCGUCCGAUCACCGAAGUUAAGCAAUGUCAGCCUAGUAAGUACUUAGAUGGGUGACCGCUUGGGAAACGUAGGUGCUGUAAGCA
rnacentral:rRNA from 1 species